rnacentral:rRNA from 1 species
UGAACGCUGGCGGCGUGCUUAACACAUGCAAGUCGAACGAGAAAGGGAUUGCUUGCAAUCCUGAGUAGAGUGGCGCACGGGUGAGUAACACGUAGAUAAUCUACCCUCAAGCCUGGGAUAACUAUUCGAAAGGAUAGCUAAUACCAGAUAAAGUUAUUUGUCAUAAGUCAAAUGAUGAAAGAUUGCCUCUAUUUAUAAGCAAUUGUUUGGGGAUGAGUCUGCGGACCAUUAGUUAGUUGGUAGGGUAAAGGCCUACCAAGACAGCGAUGGUUAGCUGGUCUGAGAGGAUGAUCAGUCACACUGGAACUGGAACACGGUCCAGACUCCUACGGGAGGCAGCAGUGAGGAAUUUUGCGCAAUGGGGGAAACCCUGACGCAGCAACGCCGCGUGAGUGAAGAAGGCCUUUGGGUCGUAAAGCUCUGUCAACAAGGAAGAAGUUACACAUAUCCAAUAGGUGUGUGUAUUGACGGUACUUGUGGAGGAAGCGCCGGCUAACUCC